rnacentral:rRNA from 1 species
GCGUAUAUUAAAGUUGUUGCGGUUAAAAAGCUCGUAGUUGGAUUUCUGUCGAGGACGGUCGGUCCACACUUUGUGUGAGUAUCUGAUUCGGCCUUGGCAUCCUCCUGGGGAACGUUUCUGCGCUUGAUUGCGUGGAGCGGAAUACAGGACUUUUACUUUGAGGAAAUUAGAGUGUUCACGGCAGGCAAACGCCUUGAAUAUAUUAGCAUGGAAUAAUAAUAUAGGACCUUUGUUCUAUUUUGUUGGUUUCUAGAGCGAAGGUAAUGAUUAAUAGGGAUAAUUGGGGGCAUUCGUAUUAACGCGUCAGAGGUGGAAUUCUUGGAUUGCGUUACGACGAACUACUGCGAAAGCAUUUGCCUAGGAUGUUUUCAUUGAUCAAGAACGAAAGUUAGGGGAUCGAAGACGCUUAGAUACCGUCGUAGUCUUAACCAUAAACUAUGCCGACUAGAGAUUGGAGGUCGUUCUUUUUAUGACUCCUUCAGCACCUUAUGAGAAAUCAAAGUCUUUGGGUUCCGGGGGGAGUAUGGUCGCAAGGCUGAAACUUAA